rnacentral:rRNA from 1 species
GACGAACGCUGGCGGCGUGCUUAACACAUGCAAGUCGAACGGUAAGGCCCUUCGGGGUACACGAGUGGCGAACGGGUGAGUAACACGUGGGUGAUCUGCCCUGCACUUCGGGAUAAGCCUGGGAAACUGGGUCUAAUACCGGAUAGGACCACUGCCUGCAUGGGUGGUGGUGGAAAGCUUUUGCGGGGUGGGAUGGGCGCGCGGCCUAUCAGCUUGUUGGUGGGGUGAUGGCGUACCAAGGCGACGACGGGUAGUCGGCGUGAGAGGGUGACCGGCCACCCGGUGAAUGAGGUACGGCCCAGACUCCUACGGGAGGCAGCAGUGGGGAAUAUUGCACAAUGGGCGCAAGCCUGAUGCAGCGACGCCGCGUGAGUGAUGGCGGCCUUCGGGUUGUAAACCUCUUUCGGCACCGACGAAGCGCAAGUGACGGUAGGUGCAGAAGAAGGACCGGCCAACUACGUGCCAGCCGCCGCGGUAA